rnacentral:rRNA from 1 species
UACAGAGGGGGCAAGCGUUGUCCGGAUUUACUGGGCGUACAGCGCGCGCAGGCGGUUGCGUAUGUGAGCGGUGACAUCCGCGGGCUCAACCCGCGGCGGCCCGCUUACACAGCGCGACUGGAGGCAGGGAGAGGGAUGUGGAAUACCCGGUGGAGCGGUGAAAUGCGUAGAGAUCGGGCGGAACACCAGCGGCGAAGGCGGCAUCCUGGCCCUGUACUGACGCUGAGGCGCGAUAGCGUGGGGAGCAAACGGG